CAGCAGCCACGGUAAUACGAAGGGGGCUAGCGUUGUUCGGAAUUACUGGGCGUAAAGGGCGCGUAGGCGGCCAUUCAAGUUAGAUGUGAAAGCCCUGGGCUCAACCUAGGAAUUGCAUUUGAUACUGUUUGGCUUGAGUUCGGGAGAGGUGAGUGGAAUUCCCAGUGUAGAGGUGAAAUUCGUAGAUAUUGGGAAGAACACCAGUGGCGAAGGCGGCUCACUGGACCGACACUGACGCUGAGGCGCGAAAGCGUGGGGAGCAAACAGGAUUAGAUACCCCAGUAGUCCCUGUCUCUUAUAC
rnacentral:rRNA from 1 species